rnacentral:lncRNA from 1 species
GAUUAUCCAACGCUUUCACCGAUUUUUACCAAGAUGAGUUUUUUAACCCAGAGCUCAGCCUUCAUCUUCUCAUCACAUACACACAGGUAAGCGGUCACACUGCAAUUAUCAUGAACACUAAAUUCUAAUGAUAUUUAAAAUCUUUUCCACACAGGAGUUAAUGUUAAUUCAUAGACUGAAUUUUGUGGGUUUUCUGUGUUUAGAGAGGUUUUUAAAUUAAUC